CUGCCAACUAUAAUUACCUAAACGUGGAAGGCAAUAAAACGGGCCCAGGCAUCCGGUCGGUCUGAGUAAAUGAUGGGUUCAGAGUUUACUGAACAACGUGCAGGGCAUACACAAUCACGCACACACACGCAAAGGUUCCAAGAGUGUGAGCGGUGUGGGGGCUUAUUUUCUCAAGUGAAUUUGAACAUUUCUCUCCUUCUUCUUGGAUUUUGUCCUAUUUUUGUCUAACAGCUGAUGCCUGGGAGUUUGUGAAAGCAAAAAUAACUCCCCUUAAAACAGGUUUAAACAGCCUCCCCCCUAAUACCUCCUCUCCAUCUGUCAGAGUGUUUUGCAGCCUCUUGCCCCUCCUUCCUCCCAUAUGGCCAUCCCGUAGUAAUCCCAGGCCACAUGUCCCUUCCCCUCAAUCUCCAACUUCCCACUUUCACCCUCCAAGUGCUUUCUGCCCUCCCGUCCCAAGUGCCAGUUCAGAUGGGGGUCCUGGCGGCGCUGGUCGCUCUGCUCUGCGUGUGGGCCCCUCAAGCGAGCGGAGCCGAGGGGUGCGGCGGUUUCAAACACCUGGAGAACGGCCAGACGUUUUUCCGUUACGGUGGACUGCUGGUGAUCUUCCGCUGUCGUCCAGGCUACAAGCUCCAUGGAUACAAGACCAACAGCUGUGUGUCUGAGCACUGGUCUCGUGACACCCCAGUCUGUGUCGGCUCCGGCUGCUCCAACCCGGGCCCGCUCAGCCACGGGACGAGCAGCACGAAUGAGGACGGCUCCUGGGUGGUGUUCAGCUGCAAUGCUGGCUUUCAUCUGCAUGGGCCGUCGAUGUUGUACUGCAAGGGCCCUUCCUGGAACAGCACGACGCCUACAUGCAAAGAGUCCGACAUGAUGCGUUCAGUUUUACGUGUCAAUAUGCAAGCUCCAAACUCAAGUCAGGCUGCCGUAGUUCUGAAAACCCAACAACAAUCCCGUUACGACGCCCUCACGCAUACCGCUUCCCAAGUAGAAAACCUCCAAUUAGCCUUUUCUCAAACGCCGUCCCAAAUGUCCGACAGGGAGAGGAUUAAAGUGACCAACCCAAAAGUGCAACAGAAUGUUCAGUUUCCCGAAGUCAAAGAUGGAGUCCGGACCAAUCAUGUUGAGGCUCAGCUUCAGGCUGCAGAGGAGCCUGCAGGCGGGACGCAUGACUCGCAGGCAGGCGAGGAGGCAGAAAAGUUGGACGGUGGAGUCGACUCUAAAUUACAUCCGUCUGCCACAGACUCGUCUGGCUUACCAUCAUCGCCUGCAACGGAUGAAUUGACGUCCUCUCCGCUGUCACAUUCUGCAGCCCAAACACCAGCUAUCACUGCUGUCACCAAGUCUGAGACAUUUCCACGCCACCUCACAACAUCUCCUGCUCCUGUUCCCGGCAGUCACAUCGCGCUACAUUUUGGAGAACCUGUCACGUCCCAGGCCGACGUGAUUCCUUCUGAAGUAGCAACGGGCUCUUCACAAACUGCAGAUGAGGAGCAACCGGCUGAAACUGGCUUCCACUAUCCUCCUCAGGCUGGUCCUUCCUCCACUCCAUCGCCUCCUUCCUACCUACCGGCCCCCAUUCCGCCCAUGUCUGCCUCGACGUCCUCAAGUCCCAGCGCCGCCCAGUCCAAUGAGAAGACACAUGUGACCACGGGGCCAGGAUCUCACCAGGGCCGAUCCUACGGCGCCGCCCUCAACUUGCCUCUGCCGUCUCAGAGAGCCGAGUGCAGGCACCCGCCCGCGCCCGCUCACGGGACCUUCUACUCCCAUUCUGUGGUUGAACACGGCAGCAGAGAGCUCAUGCAGUACAUCCAGUAUGUCUGUUACCCCGGUUACACGCUGGCUGAUGGAGACACACACAGCUACUGCCAGCGGGGAGGCACCUGGAGCGGAAUCACUCCGGUGUGUCUGGAGGCAGCACCUUGUUCAGUUGACCACGGAGGAUGCUCCCAGCUGUGCUCGCACUCAGAACAUCACAACCACAGCGCCAGCCGGGCCCGCGGCCGACCUCGGUGCCACUGCAGGGCUGGAUUCACUCUGCAGCCCGACGGGCGAACUUGUCGAGGUGAACAUUUAGUUUCUUUCCUUUCUUCUUCCCGAAUGCUCCGCUGAUCCCCGAGGCGCUUCCUAAUAACGACACCGUGCACCGAGGCGUGUUACAGCACAACAGAGAAUCUCCUCGUGUUUGAUGUUUCACGGCGCUCGGACAAGUGUGCGAGUGAGCUGUGAGAUUUAUGACUGCGCGGUCAACUUGUUGCACUUUGUAUAUUGGCUGUUCGCUGACAACCAGUCAUUUGAGAGCACAACCAGCUGAAUUAUAGUUUAGUUUCAGCU
ensembl:lncRNA